AAAAAAAAGAAAGAAAGAAAGAAAGAAAGAAAACCCUGCAACAGAAAGCCAAGUCCAGCCAAAUAGGAAAGGAAAGGGACAGAUUCAGGGAAGAAAAUACUGAAAAGAUGCAGGGGUAGAGGAACCUCAUACACAGCUUUCUUUAAGACAGCUUAAAUAAGGAGGGGUGGGUGUGUGCUGCUUCUUAGAUUCAGUCCCAGGCUUGUUACCUUUGGUGCAGAGUCAUUGCUUGGCUGUUUUGUGCCCUGACCCCAUUGCUUGUUGCUGUACCUUUUUCUCUUCGCUCAAGCCAGGCACUUUUUUUGUCUAAUAGUCUGUGCUCUGGGCUGUUUAUCAUUCAUCGCUAAAUGUUUGUGUUAUUUUUAAAGUUGACAUACUUUGGAUGUUUGGAUGUACAUGUGCCACAGGGAACAUGUGGCAGAGAAUGCUGCCUGUUGAGGCAGAGUCUCUUGUUUCUGCCUUGCUGUGCUUUCCUAGGCCAGUGAGCUUCUGAGUUCCUAGGACAGUUUUCCAAAGAAGCGCUGGGUUGUAUGUCUCUGCAUCUGGUCCUCUGUAUAGACCUGGCUUUCAAGGCAACUGUUUUUAAUCUGCCGAACCAUCUCUCUGGCCAUUAUUUUAUUUUAUUCUUGAGAUAGGGUCAUAAUAUGUGUCUUGGUCUGCCCUGGAAUUCUCAUGUAGCCUUGUCUGGCCUUGAACUCAAGAUCUUGCCUUCACUUUCUAAAUGCUAGGUGCUUCGGUAUAUGCCAUCAUGCCUAAUUAUAAAUGUUUGUCUUUUCAUUCACCAUCUCUACCCAUUCUUAACGAUACAUAUGUUUGUACCCCAGAAAGCUAGAUUUUAAUUUUACUCCAGAAAAGUGUCUUCUGAGAAGGUGGGUUGAUGUGUGAAUGUCCCUCUUUUUACUUUUGUUGCUACAAGACCUUGACAAAAAGUAACUUAGGGCUUUCAGUCAAUAUUCCAACAGAAAUUUGUAAGGGUCUUCAGUAUAAAAAUAGAACCAUUCUAAUAAUACAAAUGGAUUUUGUACAUUCAAAUUUAUAACAUUUACUUAAUUUAGUCCUUGAACAUAUGGUUGUUAUAGUCUUUCAUUUUUAAAAAGUUUUGGUUAUGGAUGAACAUGGCUUUAUUUAUUUAUUGGUAAUAUAAUUUUUUUCCCUUACCUUGUUUUGCUUGCAUGGUCCCAGAAAUGCUAGUACUUUCAGAUAGUUUGAAAGUUUAAUUAGUAACUUUGAUGUUUUCUUUAAAAUGGGAACUACUUUGAGCAUAAUGUAUAAAACACAACGUGAACUCCCAUCCCUGACAGCCAGCCAAACCUGUCAGUUCCUAAUACCGCGACACAUUUGAUCUUUUUAAAGAAGAGAACUUUCAAGAUACCGUUGGAUAUAUUCUUAGCAGCUGUCUUUUUCACUCUUCUUCAUUCAGAGUUAAAUACUUUCAAAAAGAAAAUUCUGUUUGGUAAAUGUGUAUAUAAUAUAGAAGUACACUCUAUACAUUUUUGUGUCUUUUCAGACUUUAUGAGAGUAUAUUUUGUCUGCAUCUUUUGUCAUUGGCCUUUUUUACAUGUUAUUCAUGUUGGGUGUGUUGGCUAUAUGAAACUCUUCUGUAUGAUUACACCACACUUUUAUGUAGUCUCCACAUGCAUGCUUGUAGUUUGAAAGUAAGGCCGGAGGGUGAAAUGAAGGUUUUCUACAAGUGAACAGGUUAUAGUAGUAGUGUUUGAUUUAUCACACAUUACUUUUUUGUUUAAAUAAAGACCUUAAGACGGACAUGUGGUGCAUGUCUAUGAUACCUGUCCAUGGGAGGCAGAGGCUGGAAGAUCGCUUUAAUGUGAGGGCAGCAUGGUCUGUAUAGGAAGUAUGACACCAACUAAAGAUACCUAGUGAGCUCUGUCUUUGAAACAAACAAGGAAGACCUUUAGAGGCAUCCUUUUUAUCAUUAAGAAUAGACAUGGCAGAUGUGUGUAGAAUGUAGAAUGUCACACCCUGGCUGAUGGACAACUGAUAGCUCCAGCCAUUUGUCAUCUACACAUCAAAAUAAAACUUAAGGGUUUAUUUCCUCUUUUCUUUGUUUCCUAUUAAUCUUCCCUCCAUGGUUGCCUUCUUUCUUUGCCUUUCUCUUUUUCUGUGGAUCUGACAGUCUCUCAUGUGCCAGAAAACCUCUCUCCCACUCUGCUACAUCCCUGUCCUCUUUCCUCGGUUGCCUGCUGUCCCUAGCUCUGACACCUGCUUAAAGAGAUGGAGUCUCUCUCUUCCAGAAUUCCUGAGCUCAAGGGAUCUUCCUGUCUCACCCUCCCAGGUAAGCUGGAGGCAAGAGCCACUAAUGAUUUUUUAUUUUUUAUUUCCAGGUGUAACCUGGUUUUGUAUAGUCAGGCUGCCUCAUAGCCCUGGUCUUGAACUUGGAGCACACCUGUAUCAGCUUCUCCAGUGCUAGGAGUACAGUCUCCACCAUGCCUGUUCAGCUGCAGUCUUUUACAAAGUGUCAUUUCUACAUUUCUAAUCAUGUGCAUUUGUGUGGCCUGUGUGUGGAUAUGUGCACCUGAGGAUGUGCUCUCAGAGGCAAGAAGAUGGCAUUGGAUCAGCCUUGGAUUGAACUGUCAUUACUGCAGCUGCAAGGCACUUGUCCCGGAUGCUGGGAACCGAACUCUAGUCCUCUGUUAAGAGUAGUAUACAUUCUUUUUCUUGUUUGUUUGUUUGUAUCGUUUUUGAGAUAGGGUCUUGCUGUCCUGGAAUUCACUAUGUGGACUAGGGUGGCCUCGAACUCACUUUGAGAUUUGCCUGCUGCUCCUUCCUGAGUUCUGGGAUUAAAGGCAUGUGCGACUGUGCCCAGCCUAGUAUUACAUAUACCCUUAACCUCUGAGCAUCUCUCCAGCCCUGAGUAACAAAGACUUUGAAUGUAAUUUAGCCAGCAAUUUCUUUCCUAAAAUAAUCACAGUAUUAGUCAACCCUCUUGCUAAAACAAGUACUGCUCUAGAAACCAGUGACAUUUGGUAUUGCCUAUACAUUGUUUCCCCUAGGCCUUUACUUUGUUAGUUUAAAUUUCUUUAGCUUUAUAUUUUAGAUUUAUCUUACAUUUUGCCUGUAUGCAUGUUUGUGUACCAUUGUAUGCCUGGUGCCUGUGAAGGUCAGAAGAGAGCAUUGGAUCCCCUGAAACUGGAGUUAUGGAUGGUUGUGAACCAUGGUGUGGUGCUGGGAGCUGAACUUGGGUCCUCUGAAAGAAUAACACAUGCUCUUAAACCCUGAGCCAUCGCUCCAUCCCCCACAUUUUGUGUCUGGAGACAGGAUCUUGUGUAUAACCCAGGCUCUCCUGGAACUUGAGAAUUACAAUCUGUCUCUCUUUUGCUCCUUCCCAAGGGCUGGCAUUACAAGUGUGCACUACUGAAUUAACGGAGGGAACCUGGAACCGCUGAGCCGCAUUUUGGAGUGGCCAGGGCCCUGAGACCAGGAAUUGUGGCAAACCAGAAUAAUUUAAAAAUGACCACACCGAAUGACCUCCUGGUGCCGAUCCUAAACAGUUGGAGAGGACAGCGACAGUCAGGGGGAUUGGGUCUCAGGCUGUCUGGUCACUCUCUUCAUGCAAACCAGGGUUUGGAGUGGAUCAGUUACGAGAUGACAAUCUAGGAACUUACUGGCAAUCUGAUGGCUCUCAGCCUCAUUUAGUGAAUAUCCAAUUCAGAAGAAAAACAACAGUGAAGACAUUAUGUAUUUAUGCAGAUUAUAAAUCUGAUGAAAGCUACACUCCAAGCAAAAUCUCAGUCAGAGUAGGAAAUAAUUUUCACAACCUUCAAGAAAUCCGGCAACUUGAGUUGAUGGAACCAAGUGGCUGGAUUCUCGUUCCUUUGACUGACAAUCAUAAGACGCCAACUCGCACAUUCAUGAUACAGAUUGCUGUUCUAGCCAAUCACCAGAAUGGAAGAGAUACCCACAUGAGACAAAUUAAAAUAUAUACACCAGUGGAAGAGAGCUCCAUUGGGAGAUUCCCUAGAUGCACGACCAUUGAUUUUAUGAUGUAUCGUUCAAUACGGUGACUUUAAAAUGGACAAAAAUAAACAGGCAUUUUUUUAUCCUAUCAUUGCAUAGUAUAUUAAGUAUCUUUGGUGAAAAAGCCUGUUACUUUGCAAUUUUACAUACACUUAAAAAUAAUUUAGAUAAAUAACUUUUAGGUCAUGUCUGUUUUUUAUAUAAUAAAGCUCAUAUAUUGUAUGUUUCUAAAAAGUGAAUUUGAAGUCAAUCAAAUUACAUUUUUCUUUAUAUUAAAAGAAAACUAG